rnacentral:snoRNA from 1 species
AGUGUGUGCUCAGAGCAGGGUGCCUGAAUAAUGGCUUCUCUGUUUACAACAUACCCAACAGAAAUCUGGGGUCAUUGUGGCAAGGGGUACAGAAUUUGUGGCCUCUUUAAGAACAAAUGCCCUACAUGU